GAAAUGCGAUGAGUAAUGUGAAUUGCAGAAUUCAGUGAAUCAUCUAAUCUUUGAACGCACAUUGCGCCCGCCAGCACUCUGGCGGGCAUGCCUGUUCGAGCGUCAUUUCAACCCUCAGAACCCCUUGCGGGAUCUGGCGUUGGGGAUUGGCAUCCAGCCAGCCCCGAAAUCUAGUGGCGGUCCCUCCGCGACCUCCCCUGUGCAGUAGCGAUACCUCGCAGCGGGACAGCGGUCUGACCACGCCGUAAAACCCCCAACUUCUCAAGGUUGACCUCGAAUCAGGUAGGAAUACCCGCUGAACUUAAGC
rnacentral:misc_RNA from 1 species